rnacentral:lncRNA from 12 species
CAAAAACAUAAACAAGAGUCUUCCAAUUAAAAAAUAAUCAUGGGUCCCUUUAAAGACAGAACUUUGAUCUUAACGUUUUUGUAGGUACAAAUUCUAGCACUUUGUCAUCAAAACAACUUGUGUCCAGCCAUUCCCCUCAGGAGGCAGUCCAUGGGGUCACUGUGAGCUGAUGCUCCUCCACACCAGGAGUCUGAUUUCCACCCGUCCGUGGUGUCCUCCCUGCAGCUGCCACGUUGUACUGCAGGAUGUCACGAACACAAGGCCUCUGACAGAGCAAUGCUGUUUUGUGCUUCAAAUUGCUCAAUCCCUUGCUUUUCUCAGCCACAUUUCCAGUUCCUGUGUGCUUCCAAUCUAUAGAACAGAAGUGACUCAGCAUUUCCAAUCUCAUGAUAAAAAAUAAUUGAAAUACACUAGGGUUGUUCUGGUUUCCUCAAUUUCCCUUUUCUCCACAGAAACCCAUGAGUUUGAAAAAUAACAAUGUAACAAAUUUGCUUCCCAUCCACUGUUCCUCCAUCUCUCUCUCUCUCUCUCUCUCUCUCUCUUUUUUUUUUUUUUUUUUUUUUUUUUUUUUUUUUUGGCCUUUUUUUGGGGGGGGGGGGGGGGGCACUGGUUUUUUUGUUUUUUUUUUUUUUUUUUUUUUUUUUUUUUCCAUGGUGAAAGGGGA